rnacentral:rRNA from 1 species
AUUACAGGCGGAAGUUUUCGGAUGGAAGCUUGUAAACUUAGUGGCGGACGGGUGAGUAACACGUGAGCAACCUGCCUAUCAGAGGGGGAUAACGAUUGGAAACGAUCGCUAAUACCGCAUGACAUAGCGGAACCGCAUGGUUCUGGGGUAAAAACUCCGGUGGUACAGGAUGGACCCGCGUCUGAUUAGCUUGUUGGCAGGGUAACGGCCUACCAAGGCGACGAUCAGUAGCCGGCUUGAGAGAGUGAACGGCCACAUUGGGACUGAGACACGGCCCAAACUCC